UGGGGAAUUUUGGACAAUGGGCGAAAGNCUGAUCCAGCCAUGCCGCGUGCAGGAUGAGGGCCUUCGGGUUGUAAACUGCUUUUGUACGGAACGAAAAGACUCUGGUUAAUACCUGGGGUCCAUGACGGUACCGUAAGAAUAAGCACCGGCUAACUACGUGCCAGCAGCCGCGGUAAUACGUAGGGUGCAAGCGUUAAUCGGAAUUACUGGGCGUAAAGCGUGCGCAGGCGGUUAUAUAAGACAGAUGUGAAAUCCCCGGGCUCAACCUGGGAACUGCAUUUGUGACUGUAUAGCUAGAGUACGGCAGAGGGGGAUGGAAUUCCGCGUGUAGCAGUGAAAUGCGUAGAUAUGCGGAGGAACACCGAUGGCGAAGGCAAUCCCCUGGGCCUGUACUGACGCUCAUGCACGAAAGCGUGGGGAGCAAACAGGAUUAGAUACCCUGGUAGUCCACGCCCUAAACGAUGUCAACUGGUUGUUGGGUCUUCACUGACUCAGUAACGAAGCUAACGCGUGAAGUUGACCGCCUGGGGAGUACGGCCGCAAGGUUG
rnacentral:rRNA from 1 species